UAGCUUAACAUAACCCUAAAGCAUAACACUGAAGCUGUUAAGAUGGCCCACCAUGUACCCAAGGACA
rnacentral:tRNA from 1 species